UACGUAGGGGGCAAGCGUUGUCCGGAUUUAUUGGGCGUAAAGAGCGUGUAGGCGGCUUUGCAAGUCCGCUGUGAAAACUCGAGGCUCAACCUCGAGACGCCGAUGGAAACCAUUUGGCUAGAGUCCGGAAGAGGAGAGUGGAAUUCCUGGUGUAGCGGUGAAAUGCGCAGAUAUCAGGAAGAACACCCGUGGCUAAGGCGGCUCUCUAGUAAGGUACUGACGCUGAGACGCGAAAGCGUGGGGAGCGAACAGG
rnacentral:rRNA from 1 species